GGUUUUCUUUUUGGGUACGUUUUUCAUCAUUUCAACUUUCCACGUUUCACUAAAUUCAAACAAACAAAAUAAAAACAAUGAGAGUGCCCUGACUGAGUGUGGGUACACACACAAAACAUCCCCCGCCUCUUCGAAGAACAAAAAGAGUGUUUUUUUGGAAGACUCUUCGUGUUGGUGCUCUUGACUUGUGGUGGCGUCUACAACUCUUACAAAUUCAGAAGCUCAGAUCAAAAAGGGGUGACAUGGACCUCAUUGACAACACAUUUUUUU
rnacentral:ribozyme from 1 species